UACAGAGGGUGCAAGCGUUAAUCGGAAUUACUGGGCGUAAAGCGUGCGUAGUCGGUUAUCUAAGUCGGAUGUGAAAUCCCCGGGCUCAACCUGGGAAUUGCAUUCGAAACUGAAUAGCUAGAGUUCGGCAGAGGGAGGUGGAAUUUCCGGUGUAGCGGUGAAAUGCGUAGAUAUCGGAAGGAACAUCAGUGGCGAAAGCGACUUCCUGGACCAGAACUGACGAUCAGGCACGAAAGCGUGGGGAGCAAACAGG
rnacentral:rRNA from 1 species